GUUCAAGCGAUUCUCCUGACUCAGCCCCCUGAGUAGCUGGGAUUACAGGCACGCGCCACCACUCCCAGCAGGAAACUGCUCAACAGUCACAUCUUGAAAGUAACUUGAGGCAACUGCAGGAGGGCUGCAUGGCGGGAAAGAAAUUGCUGAAAACAGGCUGGGUGAGCUGGCUCGUACCUGUGAUCCCAACACUUUGGGAAGUGAAGUUGGGCGGAUCACUUGAGGGUCUUACUCUGUGACCCACGCUGGAGUGCAAUGGCACCAUCACAACUUACUGAAGCCUCCACUUCCCGGGCUCAAGUGAUUCUUACACCUCAGCCUCCUGAGUAGCUGAGACCACAGGCACCGGUAGAUGGCAAAUAACAUGCUUUCUUUCUGUUCCCGGGCUGCGUUCGGACCCCUGUCGGAGAGUAAAUCCCAACUAAGGUACCUGCCGUCGGCAGAUUUGAGCUUUCUUCUUGGACACGUAUUACCCACAGUCCUCCAGACUCUGGUAGAUUGCAUAUAACCUGCUUUCUUUCUGUUCCCGGGCGGCAUCAGACCCGUCGGAGAGUAAAUCCCAAGUAAGGUACCUGCCGUCGGCAGAUUGGAGCUUUCUUCUUGGACACCUAAUACCCACAGUCCUCCAG
rnacentral:antisense_RNA from 1 species